AUGCUCAGUCCAACCCCGUGGCUUCAGGGUGGCCGAGUUCGUCGCGACCAUCAGUUUGGAGACCUGCGUCACUGCCCGUGUCGCUACCAUGGCCACCUGCAUCACUGCGUGCUCCGUCAACAGCCUCCUGCACAAGGAAAAGCAACCGGAGUAGAGGCUUUUGAGAUGCUCUGUUCUAGCGAGGUGGCUGAUUAUGUUUGUCAGUUUGUAAUACUUUGGCCGCAGUUUACUUAUGUAUCUUUUUCUGGCCGGAGCACGACCAGAGCUUAUGUCAGUAUGAACUUUGAUUGUGAUGGUACUACAAACUCUAUAAUUACUUACCUUUUAUACAAUCCACUUGGAUUGUGCCCCUAUUACCAACUGUGGUACAAAAAUGCACUGUGCUCACCAUUUUAUUUUAGUUCAUCAGUUUGUAAUACUUUAAAGAGAGGAGGUAAAAGUGAACCAUUUGGUUUUGUAUUAUAA
rnacentral:rRNA from 1 species